AACGCAACGUCCUCAACCUUCUCUUAAGGUUCCUCUCUGACGGUUUGAAAUCUGUUGCCUUUGGCUACCAUCUUGGCUUUAUGACCCAGAAAGGAAGAGUGAGAUAAGCAGAAACUCAGGGAGGAAGAAAUCAUAGGCCAGACUUUGGCUCCAGCCAUAAGCACGCUGUCCAGUCCAGCUUCUACCAGAGGUUAACUCCUGUGAUGCUCAGCCCCAAACAUGCGACCCCAUGGACCAUAGCCCAGCACCAGGCUCCUCUGCCCAUGGGAUUCUCCAGGCAAGAAUGUUGGAGUGGUUGCCACUCCCUCCUCCAGGGGAACUUCAUGACCCAGGAAUCAAACCUGCGUCUCCUGCAUUGGCAGGUGGUGCCUCCUGCUCCUUCAGGGGUCACUUAUGGAAUUCCGGGAUGCCCAACACACCUGUAAGAGUGGAAGGAGCAGGAAGUGCAAGGACCCAAGAAAGGAGAUCAUGGAUGGACUUCCUCCGUGCUCUCAUGUGACCAGAUCAUGCUGAUGGAGCGCAAACCCUGACACCUCUUUGAACCAAGGCCUCAGAGCCGCAUGCAUCUCUUGAAAGGAAAAGAACAUUGUUCUGGACAAUUCUGGGAAAGAUGCUGAGGAAGAUUAUUUUUGAUCACAGACAAACUCAAAAUAUAUUUGCUUCUUAAUUCCUUGAAUAAAUGAUUCAUGGAAUGCAUGCAUUUUAAGGAGCUGAAUGCUUUUGGGUUGUUUUCCUGGAACCCUCCAUUUCUGAACAGUCUCUAAAGACCAGUAAUAAAUAUACACAGCUGCACAGCUAAGUGAUCAUGAGCAUGCCCUUACGUGUCUGUUGCAU